rnacentral:rRNA from 1 species
AACGAACGCUGGCGGCGUGGAUAAGACAUGCAAGUCGAACGCUAAUUUCAGGGUAGCAAUAUUCUGAAGUUGGAGUGGCGCAAGGGUGCGUAACACGUGGGUAAUUUGCCGUGAAGUUGGGAAUAACUCGCUGAAAGGCGAGCUAAUGCCGAAUGUGAAAAUUGGGUGGCAUCAUCUGAUUUUCAAAGUUGGGGACCGUAAGGCCUGACGCUUCACGAUAAGCCCGCGGCCUAUCAGCUAGUUGGUGAGGUAACGGCUCACCAAGGCUAAGACGGGUAGCUGGUCUGAGAGGACGACCAGUCACACUGGAACUGAGACACGGUCCAGACACCUACGGGUGGCAGCAGUCGAGUAAUUUUUCNCAAUGGGCGAAAGCCUGAAGGAGCGACGCCGCGUGGGGGAUGAAGGGCUUCGGCUCGUAAACUCCUUUCGAUCGAGCGAAUGGCCUCCGGGUGAACAAUCCGGAGGAGUGACGGUA